rnacentral:rRNA from 1 species
UACGUAGGGUCCGAGCGUUGUCCGGAAUUAUUGGGCGUAAAGAGCUCGUAGGCGGUUUGUCGCGUCUGCUGUGAAAUCCCGAGGCUCAACCUCGGGCCUGCAGUGGGUACGGGCAGACUGGAGUGCGGUAGGGGAGAAUGGAAUUCCUGGUGUAGCGGUGGAAUGCGCAGAUAUCAGGAGGAACACCGAUGGCGAAGGCAGGUCUCUGGGCCGAUACUGACGCUGAGGAGCGAAAGCGUGGGGAGCGAACCGG